rnacentral:rRNA from 1 species
CUCCUACGGGAGGCAGCAGUGGGGAAUCUUGCGCAAUGCGCGAAAGCGUGACGCAGCAACGCCGCGUGGGGGAAGAAGGCUUUCGGGUUGUAAACCCCUUUCAGUUGGGACGAAGCUUCGGCGGUUAAUAGCCGUUUGAAGUGACGGUACCUUCACAAGAAGCACCGGCUAACUACGUGUCAGCAGCCGCGGUAAUAC